rnacentral:sRNA from 1 species
AGUGGUCGAGUGAUAAGCUGGAGUCUUCUUUUCUUCCUUGUGCUCGAGUGUCUAGUUGAGUGCGGAAUGAAGAAGACUCUAAAGCUGGCACUCGAGUGAUAAAGAUGGUGGUACUCGGCUUCGUGGUAGAGUGAUCGAGUGAAGGUGAUGAAGGUACUCGACCAUAUGAUCGAGUAGAGAGAU